rnacentral:rRNA from 1 species
GUGGGGAAUAUUGGACAAUGGGCGAAAGCCUGAUCCAGCCAUGCCGCGUGUGUGAAGAAGGUCUUCGGAUUGUAAAGCACUUUAAGUUGGGAGGAAGGGCAGUAAGUUAAUACCUUGCUGUUUUGACGUUACCAAUAGAAUAAGCACCGGCUAACUUCGUGCCAGCAGCCGCGGUAAUACGAAGGGUGCAAGCGUUAAUCGGAAUUACUGGGCGUAAAGCGCGCGUAGGUGGUUUUGUAAGUUGGAGGUGAAAUCCCCGGGCUCAACCUGGGAACUGCCUCCAAAACUGCAUGACUAGAGUACGGUAGAGGGUAGUGGAAUUUCCUGUGUAGCGGUGAAAUGCGUAGAUAUAGGAAGGAACACCAGUGGCGAAGGCGACUACCUGGACUGAUACUGACACUGAGGUGCGAAAGCGUGGGGAGCAAACAGGAUUAGAUACCCCAGUAGUCC